rnacentral:rRNA from 1 species
GACUCUGAUCAAAACACCCGGAACGUCCCCGACCUCGUCAGAUCUCAAAAGCUAAGCAGGUAGGAGCCUGGAUUACGCUGGGUUGGGCGACCACCGUGCAAAAACGGUGGCGAGAUGUU